rnacentral:rRNA from 1 species
GAUGAACGCUGGCGGCGUGCCUAAUACAUGCAAGUCGAACGAGUUCUUGUUGAUGAUCGGUGCUUGCACCAAGAUUCAACAUGGAACGAGUGGCGGACGGGUGAGUAACACGUGGGUAACCUGCCCUUAAGUGGGGGAUAACAUUUGGAAACAGAUGCUAAUACCGCAUAGAUCCAAGAACCGCAUGGUUCUUGGCUGAAAGAUGGCGUAAGCUAUCGCUUUUGGAUGGACCCGCGGCGUAUUAGCUAGUUGGUGAGGUAAUGGCUCACCAAGGCGAUGAUACGUAGCCGAACUGAGAGGUUGAUCGGCCACAUUGGGACUGAGACACGGCCCAAACUCCUACGGGAGGCAGCAGUAGGGAAUCUUCCACAAUGGACGCAAGUCUGAUGGAGCAACGCCGCGUGAGUGAAGAAGGCUUUCGGGUCGUAAAACUCUGUUGUUGGAGAAGAAUGGUCGGCAGAGUAACUGUUGUCGGCGUGACGGUAUCCAACCAGAAAGCCACGGCUAACUACGUGCCAGCAGCCGCGGUAAUACGUAGGUGGCAAGCGUUAUCCG